rnacentral:rRNA from 1 species
UACGGAGGGUGCAAGCGUUAUCCGGAUUUACUGGGUUUAAAGGGCGCGUAGGUGGGCAGGUAAGUCAGUGGUGAAAUCUCCGGGCUUAACCCGGAAACUGCCAUUGAUACUAUCUGUCUUGAAUUUCCUGGAGGUAAGCGGAAUAUGUCAUGUAGCGGUGAAAUGCUUAGAUAUGACAUAGAACACCAAUUGCGAAGGCAGCUUACUACGGGAAUAUUGACACUGAGGCACGAAAGCGUGGGGAUCAAACAGG